UGCGGGAAUGGCGGAAUUGGCAGACGCGCUAGACUUAGGAUCUAGUUCCAUUGGAGUGGGGGUUCAAGUCCUCUUUCCCGCACCAG
rnacentral:tRNA from 1 species